rnacentral:rRNA from 1 species
GACGAACGCUGGCGGCGUGCUUAACACAUGCAAGUCGAACGGACAUUUUUUGGAAAGCUCUUCGGAACUGGAAUCUAAAUGUUAGUGGCGGACGGGUGAGUAACGCGUGAGCAAUCUGCCUUUCAGAGGGGGAUAACAGCCGGAAACGGCUGCUAAUACCGCAUAAUGCAUCGGAUUCGCCAUGUUUUUGUAUGCCAAAGAUUUUAUUCGCUGAAAGAUGAGCUCGCGUCUGAUUAGCUAGUUGGCGGGGUAACGGCCCACCAAGGCGACGAUCAGUAGCCGGACUGAGAGGUUGAACGGCCACAUUGGGACUGAGGACACGGCCCAG